ensembl:snoRNA SNORA28 small nucleolar RNA SNORA28
AAGCAACACUCUGUGGCAGAUGAUCAAAACUCUGGCACAAUUUGAGCUUGCUACAGCAAGAAAGCCUAACCUGUUCCGCUGUUCUCGUCUCCGCGAGACAAGCCGUUAUACAGGCUUAAACAGU